CCUACGGGUGGCAGCAGUGAGGAAUAUUGGUCAAUGGGCGCGCGCCUGAACCAGCCAAGUAGCGUGAAGGAUGACUGCCCUACGGGUUGUAAACUUCUUUUAUAAAGGAAUAAAGUGAGGCACGUGUGCCUUUUUGUAUGUACUUUAUGAAUAAGGAUUGGCUAACUCCGUGCCAGCAGCCGCGGUAAUACGGAGGAUCCGAGCGUUAUCCGGAUUUUAUGGGUUUAAAGGGAGCGGAGAGGGGUUUGUAAGUCAGUUGUGAAAGUUUGCGGCUCAACCGUAAAAUUGCAGUUGAUACUGGCAGCCUUGAGUACAGGUGAGGUAGGCGGAAUGCGUGGUGUAGCGGUGAAAUGCUUAGAUAUCACGAAGAACUCCGAUUGCGAAGGCAGCCUACUAAACUGCCACUGACAUUGAUGCUCGAAAGUGUGGGUAUCAAACAGGAUUAGAUACCCUUGUAGUC
rnacentral:rRNA from 1 species